rnacentral:rRNA from 1 species
GAUGAACGCUGGCGGCGUGCCUAAUACAUGCAAGUCGAGCGGUAAGGCUCUGCACAGGUUAUUUGAUCGAGGUUUAUCCUUAAUACAUUCCCCGGCUAGGGAAGGUUAAUAGAUCGAAUGAUGUGUGUAGAGUACACGAGCGGCGGACGGCUGAGUAACGCGUAGGAACGUACCCCAAAGUGAGGGAUAAGCACCGGAAACGGUGUCUAAUACCGCAUGUGAUCUUCGGAUUAAAGCUUUAUGCGCUUUGGGAGCGGCCUGCGUAAGAUUAGUUUGUUGGUGAGGUAAUGGCUCACCAAGACUACGAUCUUUAGCUGGUCUGAGAGGAUGAUCAGCCAGACUGGGACUGAGACACGGCCCAGACUCCUACGGGAGGCAGCAGUAGGGAAUUUUCCACAAUGGACGAAAGUCUGAUGGAGCAACGCCGCGUGCAGGAUGAAGGCUUUCGGGUCGUAAACUGCUUUUAUCUGUGAAGAUUAUGACGGUAGCAGAUGAAUAAGGAUCGGCUAACUCCGUGCCAGCAGCCGCCGUAAAAC